UACGUAGGGCGCAAGCGUUAUCCGGAAUUAUUGGGCGUAAAGAGCUCGUAGGCGGUCUGUCGCGUCGGCUGUGAAAACCUGGGGCUUAACUCCGGGCCUGCAGCCGAUACGGGCAGACUAGAGUUCGGCAGGGGAGACUGGAAUUCCUGGUGUAGCGGUGAAAUGCGCAGAUAUCAGGAGGAACACCGAUGGCGAAGGCAGCUCGCUGGGACGGUACUGACGCUGAGGCGCGAAAGCGUGGGGAGCAAACAGG
rnacentral:rRNA from 1 species